rnacentral:misc_RNA from 1 species
GUAAGCAUCAUCAGCCUUCCCAGCGUUUCCAAGCCCCUUAAUUCACCCUGGGUAGGUAAAUACAGUCGAAGUGUAACCCUUACUACUCAUCCCCAGGAUCAAAUCCAAAGGUCUCUCAACCUUCGCUGACACCGAAGAUUUGAUUUCAUUUGCUCACUGAAGAAGCAUAAAAUAUGAAAGCUACCUGUUUGUUUAACUCUCUCACAGAGAUGAGUAAAAGUUGAUACUGAUGCUUUGAAGCAAUAGAUUUCAAAACCGUCUUUCCCAUUUGCCUAAAACUCUUUGCAUAGAAAAUUUGGGAUUACUUCGUCAAUUCCAAGAGAAGACUAUCUGACGUCACCUUCCAACAACACCUGAGAGAACCAAAGACCAUUAAACGAAGGUAUCCUAUACAAUUCCCCCAAAAUUUGCAAGAGCUAAACUUUAAAAGGAAAAGACUCAUGGCUCUGGUAACAAAGUUGUUGAAUUAUUCCCAUGUACCCACAAUCACUAGGAUUGCAAUGACAGAAGGCCAAAAGAUUCCUACA